AAAGUCGUAACAAGGUUUCCGUAGGUGAACCUGCGGAAGGAUCAUUAGAAAUGUGCCGCAAGGCCUUAUCUUUACACACAACUGUGCACGCCCUCGGGCAUAAACUCAAACGUAAACGAAUGUAAACAAGUUAAAUAAUACAACUUUCAACAACGGAUCUCUAGGCUCUC
rnacentral:misc_RNA from 1 species